ensembl:lncRNA
AGUUCACAUAUUGCUGAAGCCUGGCCUGGAGAAUUUUGAGCACUACCUUACUAGCGUGUGAGAAGAGUUCAAUUGUGCAGCAGUUUGAGCAUUCUUUGGCAUUGCCUUUCUUUGGGAUUGGAAUGAAAACUGACCUUUUCCAGUCCUGUGGCCACUGCUGAGUUUUCCAAACUUGCUGGCAUAUUGAGUGCAGCACUUUCACAGCGUCCUCUUUCAGGAUUUGAAAUAGCUCAACUGGAAUUCCAUUACCUCCACUAGUUUUGUUCGUAGUGAUGCUUCCUAAGGCCCACUUGACUUCACCCUCCAUGAUGUCUGGCUCUAGGUGAGUGAUCACACCAUCAUGAUUAUCUUGGUCAUGAAGAUCUUUUUUGUGCAGUUCUUCAGUGCAUUCUUGUCACCUCUUCUUAAUAUCGUCUGCUUCUGUUAUGUCCCUACCAUUUCUGUCCUUUAUUGUGCCCAUCUUUGCAUGAAAUGUUCCCUUGGUAUCUCUAAUUUUCUUGAAGAGAUCUCUAGUCUUUCCCUUCUGUUGUUUUCCUCUAUUUCUUUGCACUGAUCACUGAGGAAGGCUUUCUUAUCUCUCCUUGCUAUUCUUUGGAACUCUGCAUUCAAAUGGGGAUAUCUUUCCUUUUCCCCUUGGCUUUUCGCUUCCCUUGUUUUCACAGCUAUUUGUAAGGCCUCCUCAGUCAGCCAUUUUGCUUUUUUGCAUUUCUUUUUCUUAAGGAUGGUCUUGAUCCCUAUCUCCUGUACAAUGUCAUGAACCUCCAUCCAUAGUUCAUCAGGCACUCUGUCUAUCAGAUCUAGUCCCUUAAAUCUAUUUCUCACUUCCACUGUAUAAUCAUAAGGGAUUUGAUUUAGGUCAUACCUGAAUGAUCUGGUGGUUUUCUCUACUUUCUUCAAUUUAAGUCUGAAUUUGGCAAUAAGGAGUUCAUGAUCUGAGCCACAGUCAGCUCCCGGUCUUGUUUUUGCUAACUGUAUAGAGCUUCUCCAUCUUUGGCUGCAAAGAAUAUAAUCAGUCUGAUUUCAGUAUUGACCAUCUGGUGAUGUCCAUGUGUAGAGUCUUCUCUUGUGUUGUUGGAAGAGGGUGUUUGCUAUGACCAGUGCGUUCUCUUGGCAGAACUCUGUUAGCCUUUGCCCUGCUUCAUUCUGUACUUCAAGGCCAGAUUUGCCUGUUACUCCAGGUGUUUCUUGACUUCCUACUUUUGCAUUCCAGUCCCUUAUAAUGAAAAGGACAUCUUUUUUUGGGUGUUAGUUCUAUAACCCUGCCCUUACUUAAAAACAAACAAACAAACAAACAACUUCUUAAUUGUCUUUUGUUGUUGUUGUUGAGUUGCCCCGUCUGUCCAACUCUUUGUGACCCCAUGGACGGUAGCAUGCCAGGCAUCCCUGUCCCUCACCAUCUCCCAAGCUUUGCCCAAGUUUAUGUUCAUUGCAUUGGUGAUGCCAUCCAUCUAUCUCAUCCUCUGAUGCCCUUUUCUCCUUCUGCCUUCGAUCUUUCCCAGCAUCAGAUAUUUUCCAAUAAAUUACCUGUUUGCAUCAAAGGACCAAAAUACCAAAAGUUCAGCUUCAGCAUCAGUCAUUCCGUGAAUACUCAGGGUUGAUCUCCCUUAAGAUUGAUUGGUUGGAUCUCCUUGCUGUCCAAGGGACUUUCAGGAGUAGUCUCCAGCACUACAGUUCGAAGGCAUCAAUUCUUUGGCUUCCUGCCUUCUUUAUGGUCAGGCUUUUGCAACCGUGUGUGACCACUGGGAAGACCAUAGCCUUGACUAUGCUGCUGCUAAGUUGCUUCAGUUGUGUCCGACUCUGUGUGACCCCAUAGACAGAAGCCCACCAGGCUCCCCCAUCCCUGGGAUUCUCCAGGCAAGAACAUUGGAGUGGGUUGCCAUUUCCCUCUCCAAUGUAGGAAAAUGAAAAGUGAGAGUGAAGUUGCUCAGUCGUGCCCGACUCUUCGCUACCCCAUGGACUGCAGCCUACCAGGCCCUUCUGCCCAUGGGAUUUUCCAGGCAAGAGUACCGGAGUGGGGUGCCAUUGCCUUCUCUGAGCCUUGACUAUACAGACCUAAUCAUCUUUAUUUAGGAGCUUUUCCUCUGUCUCCUGGAGCUGUCAAGUGUUUGAUAUCCCUACAUUAUCUACCUUCUAACUCUAAUUUUGUUGUGAAUCCUCCAUCCAGUUGAGUAGAGUCUGGAUUGGAAAUGCUUUGAAUCUUUGUUUCUAAGGUAAACCUAUGUUCUCACAACCUUUUUCUGAUACUUGCUCCACUGUGAGCCUCCUGUCACUGGAUUUGGGCUCUAGAAUUCCCCGUGUCUGUUAUGGAUGAACCCAAUACAAGACCACCUCUGCUAUUAUUAUUCUCUGUUCUGCUUGAAUUUGAGCUGUUUUCAGAGUUUCCACUCUCUAAUAGAUUGGUUUUAGGAAAUCUUGCUUUUCAAUUCUUGAGAUGUUUGGAGAGAUUGCUCUUCAAACACCCCUGGCAACCUACUUUUUCCCCUGAUGGUUCAAGCCUGUCAGUCCUACUUUCUCACACGCUUAACCAGCCUUCCAAUGGUUGUCCUUGAUAACUAUUUCUCUUUUGCCAUGUUCCCUUCCUAGCACAUGGGUGCCCCCGAAGAUGGUAGGAGCUGUUGGCAUUGCUCACUCACUAUUCCUUAUUUGCAGUAUUUAGAGGACCUAUACCCAGUUGCUCAUGUGUUUUGAGCAUUUUCCAGAGGACUGAACUGGGAAUCAUGCCCAGGUCAAUCAAAAGUGUUUAAGAAUGUGUACAUGUAUAAGUGGGUAGUGCAUUUUGUAUAUGUCUGUGCAAAUGGUUCUGGGAUUAUCAAUUUAGCCUGAAAAUGAAGACUGUCUAACCCUGGGUUCCAUUUAUUUAGUACAGUCAUCUCUCAGUACCUGCAGGGGGCUAGUUGCAGGUACUGUGACAGGGACCCCCACAGAUCCCGAAGUCCAUGGAUGCUCAAGUCUGAAUGUAAAAUGGCUUAGUAUUUGUAUAUAACAGAUGCACAUCCUCCUGUGCACCUUAAACCGUCUCCAGAUUUCUUACAGUAACUAACGCAAUGCUAAUACAGUGUAAAUGUUAUGUGAAUAGUUGCCAGUGCACGACACAUUCAAAUUUUGCUUUUUGGAACUUUCUGGAGUUUUUUAAAAAUAUUUUUUUAUCUGCAGUUGGCUGAAUCCAUGAAUGUGGAAGCUUUGGACGUGGAAACCUAACUAUAAUCGCAAUACUGUUGUUUAGUGGCGUAGUCCUGUCUGACUCUUUGCAACCUGGUGGACUGUAGCCCGCCAGGCUCCUCUGUCCAUGGGGAUUCUCCAGGCAAGAACACUGGAGUGAGUUUCCAUGCCUUCCUCCAGGGGAUCUUCCUGACCCAGGGAUCAAACCUGCAUCCAUGUGGAAGCUGGAGCUGAAAUACCAGUCCCAUCCCCCAGCCAAAGUGAAAUGAAUUAGGCCGCUUUUAUCUGCUGGUCUGUGCCCAGCACUGGCUCCACCUUGCAUCUGGACAGUGUCCAUCUUCCCGCUGGCCAGAGCAGGAGAAUUCUUCCAGCUUAUAAGGAUCAAGACAGCCUAGGGUAGGACAUUAAAUUUCCAGACUGAGGCCUGUGAAAUCUGCCCUGCAGACCAUUCUCUAAAUAGAACCAUUUCAUUGGCAGGAAGCAAGAGAGCAGCCAGGGUUUAUUGGCUGGAAGCCUCUUGGUGAUGCCAAAGGUCCCAACCUUCAGAGGAGUUCCUGACAGUGUCCUAAGAGUCCACUUCUGCCAACUCUGAAAUUUGGGACUUGGAAGGGGUCCCCAAGGUCAUCUGCCUCCUCAUUCCUUCUCCAACCUGCCUCAGAGGAACAUUAGUUAUUUAGUGUUAGCCGCUCAGUAGUGUCCCAGUCUUGGUGACCCCAUGGACCGUAGCUGGCCAGGUUCCUUGUCCAUGGAAUUCUCCAGGCAAGAAUACUGGAGUGGGUAGCCAUUUCCUCCCCCAGGGGGUCUUCCUGAUCCAGAGAUAGAACCCAGGUCUCCUGCAUUGAAGGCAGAUUCUUUACCGUCUGAGCCACCAGGGAUGUCAGAGGACUGAGUGUCUCUUAUUUCCCUUGAUCUUCUGAGAAGAUGUUCUAAACUUCUCUCCUAAUCCAUUUUUGGCCUUUCCAUUAGGCAAUUCUUUUUCAUGUCAAACUGGUUUUUAGCACUCAUGUGAUUUUAAAGCAUGUGGUUACAUUCAUGCAGCCUAUCAGAGACAAGAUCAGGGAAACUUCCAGGAAGAUACAUUUCCUCCUGCCCCAUUUAGCAGGGCUAUUCUGGUCUGGGAGUUGGGGGAGGCGAGGAUUCUAUCAUUGAACCACCAAUGUCUUAAAGGCUAUUCUAGUCUGAGCUGGUAAUUGCAAAACAAUGAACUCUGAAAGUAAAUAGCCAGAGUCCUCAUUUGAUGGAGAUGUUUUUUCCUUUAAAGUUACUCCCAAAACCACUACAAUACUGUAAAGUAAUUAGCCUCCAAUUAAAAUAAAUAAAUUGAUUUAAAAAGUUACUCCUAAGGGUUUCCCUGGUGGCUCAGAUGGUAAAGAAUUUGCCUGCAAUGCAGGAAACCUGGGUUUGAUCCCUGGAUUAGGAAGAUGCCUGGAAGAAGGCAUGGUAACCCAUUUCCGUAUUCUUGCCUAGAGAAUUCCAUGGACGGAGGAGCCUGGUGGGCUCUAGUCCAUGGGGUCGCAAAGAGCUGGACUUGGCUGAAGUGACUUAGCACACACACACGCAUGACCAAGCAGGGGAUUCCCCAGUGGCUCACGGGUAAAAAUUCACCUGCAAUGCAGGGGACAGAGGAGAUGUGCGUUCGAUUCCUGGGUGGGGAAGAUGCCCUGGAGAAGGAAAUGACAACCCACUCCAGUAUUCUUGCCCGGAGAAUCCCAUUGACAGAGGAGCCUGGCAGGCUAUAAUCCAAAGGUCUCAAAGAAUUGGACAUGACUGAGCGACUGAGCAUGCACAUAAUGCCCAAGCUUUCCUCCCAAGCAUAAUGACCAGUCAAGUGAGACUUGGCUCCACACCCCGUGGGUCUGAGCCUUUUUCCCAUCACAAUAGGAUUAGAACGUGCUUAACUUCUGUUACCACUAUUGGGACCAGAUUUGCUUUCUCACCACUGAAUCCCUUUUAAGAAUGGCCAAGGGCCUGUGGGAUUUAUCAUUUAUCACUUCUUUCAAGGGUUUUGACUCUGAUCUGGGGAUAAUUCGGUGUGUUUGAAAGAGGAAUAAGCUUUUUGUCUAAUCCAGGGAACAAAGUACAGAAUCCAGCAGCCGGAAGUCCAGGGUUUAUUUUUCUUAGGCAAACCCGUGAAUUUAUCAUCACUUCAAGGGAGAAACAAAGACGGGGAUUCAGGAAGCUGGUCCCAGCUGUCAGCCACUCAUUUUUAGGAAUUAAAACAGAAGAACAAACGACCACCAGGCUGAUGAAGUCCUGGUGAGCCUGAUCCUGUCCCAGCAGACAAGAGGAGACAGGCAUCCCUCAUCGUGGGCUUGGGUUGUGAGAACCUUCCUGCCCGGGUCCCAGCUCCCAGGCCCAAGGCCUGGACUGGACCUUCUACCUUAAUGAGCUGCUGAUGUGCUGCAAGGACUUAAUGUAGCACCAGAAAGGGAGGACAGGCUGUCAGACCUCUGAUUACCCUUCUGAGGAGGUUUAAGAGCUUAAGACGAAUCAAUGAAAAAUAUGUGCAUUUCAGCUCCACUCAGAAGCUGCAUGGAUUUACCCCCAGACAAAAAACUACGGACUUUUCUUGAACUUUAACGGGUAGAUGGCAGUAUCUGAAGUUGAGCUCUAGCCAGGAUGAUAUUUUAUUAUUUCUAUGAUUACUGAUUUUCAUAAAUGUAAUUCCCCCAUAUGUUUCUGGCUUAUGCUAAUGACAUAAUGUGCCAAAGUGCUAUGCAUUUUAACCCAUUGUUUCAAAUGCUGCUGCUGCUGCUGCUAAGUCACUUCAGUCAUGUCCGACUCUGCAACCCCAAUAGACGGCGGCCCCCCAGGCUCCUCUGUCCCAGGUAUUCUCCAGGCAAGAACACUGGAGUGGGUUGCCAUUGUCUUCUCUGAUUGUUGGUUUAAUAUUAUUGGUUUAAAAUACCUAUUCUAGGGCUUCCCAGGUGGCGCAGUGUUAAAGAAUCCACCUGUCAAUGCAGGAGACACAAGAGACAUGGGUUCAAUCCCUGGGAAGAUCCCAUGGAGGGAGGAAAUGACAACCCACUCCAGUAUUCUUGCCUGCAGUAUCCCAUGGACAGAGGAGCCUGGCAGGCUACAGUUCAUGGGGUCUCAAAAGAGUCAGAUAUGACUGAAGCAACUAAACACACGCUCAUAUAUAGAGCAACCCCUGAAGAAGUUAUUAACUUGGCAGCUUCCAGUUUGGACAGGCAGGGAAAAUCCUUAAGAAUCUUUGAGUCUAUCAAGGAAGCUUCUCGGAGUGCCGUUGCACUGCACACCUCAGGGACACCAUGCGGACAGAAGGAAGUGAAGUUGUGCAACAUGGUGGCCUUGGCCUCCCAGUAUGUGUGGGACUUCAAAAGCCGCUUGAGCAAUGGAAGAGAGAGAGGAAAAAAAGAUGGAAAGCAAGUGAGAUCAUCUGGAGUAUGUAUACUCGUGCAGGUAACUCACAAAUGAAUGAGGGAAGCUUGUCUGUUGAUAAAGGAGAAAGUACCUCCUCUCAACUCACUUUGGUCAGAACUUUUGCAGAGUUCCAGGACCAGAUUUCUGGGAAACAAUUUCAGUCUGCAACUAGGACCGAAGAGGAGAAGGUAAAGAAACGGGAACUGCUUUCCUUGGAGUAACAGAGGCCAAAAGUAUGACUCAACAACGUGAUCAAACCCAGGAAAGGUCAUUUUCCAGACUCUGGUGACCAGCUGUCCUUUAACUCCCAUGGCUACAAAACAAGUUUUUAACUCGUGGCAAUUUGUGACUCAUUUUAGAAAGCUGUUCUGCCUGGUUGACCCCAUACCAGUGUAUUUAUACCCAAGUGAGCUCCUUAAAAGGAUUGGAGGAGGCCGCAUUUGAACUUUUUCAACAAGCAAGCAGCUAAAGAACACUGAAUCCAGACCACUAGGUUGCUGAGGUUUGUUGAAGAGGAAGGAGCUUUGGUCGCAUAAUUCAUUUCUAGGAAAGUAUCCUGAGGAAAGGGCUUACCCAGUGGCUCAGCAGGUAAAGAAUCUGCCUGUAACUCAGGAGACCCAGGAAACACAAGUUCGAUCCCUGGAAGAUCCCCUGGAAGAGAAAAUGGCAACCCCUUCCAGUAUUCUAGUCUGGGAAAUCCCAGGGAUAGAAGAGCCUGGCAGGCUACAUACAGUGCAUGGGGUCACAAAGAGUCACACACAACCGAGCACAAGCACAGAUGGAUCCUGAGGAAAUCAUUAGACCAUUGCCAUCUAUGAAAGAAAACCAAGCUAUCCAGCGACUAGACUGGCACCAAUUUCACAAUAGAUUGGUGACAUGGUAAAAUAAUGGAACGGGAAAGACCAGAGAUCUCUUCAGGAAAAUUAGAGAUACCAAGGGAACGUUUCAAGCAAAGAUGGGCUCAAUGAAGGACAGAAAUGGUAGGAACCAACAGAAGCAGAAGAUAUUAAGAAGAGGUGGCAAGAAUACACAGAAGAACUAUACAAAAAAGAUAUUCACGACUCAGAUAAUUACAAUGGUGUGAUCACUCACCUAGAGCCAGACAUCAUGGAGGGUGAAGUCAAGUGGGCCUUAGGAAGCAUCACUACAAACAAAGCUAGUGGAGGUGAUGGAAUCCCAGUUGAGCUAUUUCAAAUCCUGAAAGAUGAUGCUGUGAAAGUGCUGCACUCAAUAUGCCAGCAAAUUUGGAAAACUCAGCAGUGGCCACAGGACUGGAAAAGGGCAGUUUUCAUUCCAAUCCCAAAGAAAGGCAAUGCCAAAGAAUGCUCAAGCUACCGCACAAUGGCACUCAUCUCACAUGCUAGUAAAGUAAUGCUCAAAGUUCUCCAAGCCAGGCUUCAGCAAUAUGUGAACUGGAACUUCCAGAUGUUCAAGCUGGUUUUAGAAAAGGCAGAGGAACCAGAGAUCAAAUUGCCAACAUCCACUGGAUCAUGGAAAAGCAAGAGAGUUCCAGAGAAACAUCUAUUUCUGCUUUAUUGACUAUGCCAAAGCCUUUGACUGUGUGGAUCACAAGAAACUGUGGACAAUUCUGAAAGAGAUGGGAUACCAGAUCACCUGAACUGCCUCUUAAGAAACCUGUAGGCAGGUCAGGAAGCAAGAGUUAGAACUGGACAUGGGACAACAGACUGGUUCCAAAUAGGAAAAGGAGUAUGUCAAGGCUGUAUAUUGUCACCCUGCUUAUUUAACUUAUAUGCAGAGUACAUCAUGAAAAACGCUGGGCUGGAAGAAACACAAGCUGGAAUCAAAAUUGCCAGGAGAAAUAUCAAUAACCUCAGAUAUGCAGAUGACACCACCCUUAUGGCAGAAAGUGAGAAGAACUAAAGUGCUUCUUGAUGAAAGUGAAAGAGGAAAGUAAAAAAGUUGGCUUAAAGCUCAACAUUCAGAAAACUAAGAUCAUGGCAUCUGGUCCCAUCACUUCAUGGUGAAUAGAUGGGGAAACAGUGGAACCAGUGGCUGACUUUAGUUUGAGGGGCUCUAAAAUCACUGCAGAUAGUGACUGCAGCCAUGAAAUUAAAAGACACUUACUCCUUGGAAGGAAAGUUAUGACCAACCUAGAUAGUAUAUUCAACAACAGAGACAUUACUUUGCCGACUAAAGUCCGUCUAGUCAAGGCUAUGGUUUUUCCAGUGGUCAUGUAUGGAUGUGAGAGUUGGACUGUAAAGAAAGCUAAUUGCCAAAGAAUUGAUGCUCUUUAACUGUGGUGUUGGAGAAGAUGCUCGAGAGUCCUUUUGAACUGCAAAGAGAUCCAACCGAUCAGUCCCAGGUAUUCACUGGAAGGACUGAUGUUGAAGCUGAAACUCCAAUAUUUUGGCUACCUGAUGCAAAGAGCUGACUCAUUUGAAAAGACCCUGAUGCUGGGAAUGAUUGAGGGCAGGAGGAGAAGGGGAUGACAGAGGAUGAGAUGGUUGGAUGGCAUCACCGACUCAAUGGACAUGAGUCUGUGUGGACUCUGGGAGUUGGUGAUGGACAGGGAGGCCUAGAGUGCUGCAGUCCAUGGGGUUGCAAAGAGUCAGACACUGAACUGACUCAGCGACUGAACUGAACUGAACUGAAAUAUGGUAAUCCAUAAGGAGCAAUACUGCACAGCCUCUUCAAACUGAGUUACUGAGAAAUGUUUAUAGUUAGGUUGCAAUGAUUAAAAGAAUGUAUGCUAUGAAACAGUAUAUGUUGUAUGCUGUCAUAAAAUAUUUUACAUAUACUUGCAAAAUGGCAUCGAUGCAUAGAUUGAAGUCACACGGAAAGUCAUAACGUCAUCAGCAAACUCUAGGCUUCUGUGGAUUGCAGGUGAUCAGAUGUCCUCUGUGUGCUGUUAGGUGUGUGGCAGAGGCCAAGCUCUGGUUAGUCACACUAUGUCAUUUUAUUCAUAAGUAUAUUAACAAGCAGAGACAUCACUUUGACAACAAAAGUCUGCAUAGUCAAAGUUAUGAUUUUUCCAGCAGUCAUGUACAGAUGUGAUUAUAAAGAAGACCAUGAAGAUGUUGGACCACAGAGAAGGCUGAGUGUCAAAGAGUUGCUGCUUCUGGACUGUGGUGCUGGAGAAAACGCUUGAGAGUCCCUAGGACUGCAAGGAGAUCAAAGCCGGCAGUUCUAAAGGAAAUCAGCCCUGAAUAUUCAUCAGAAGGACUGAUGCUGAACCUUAAGCUCCAAUACUUUGGCCACCUGAUAUGAGGAGCUGAUUCAUUGGAAAAGACCCUGAUGCUGGGAAAGACUGAGGGCAGAAGGAAAAAGGGACAACAGAGGAUGAGAUGGUUAGAUAGCAUCACCGACUCAAUGGAUAUGAGCUUCAGCAAACUCUGGGAGAUAGUGAAGGACAGGGAAGCCUGGGGUGCUGUGAGUCCAUGGGGUCACAAAGAGUUGGACAUGACUUAGCGACUGAACAGCAACGGCAACACAAGAAAAUGACAUUUCCCAGCCUCCUUGCUUAUAGGUUAGCCGUGAGAUGAACUCUGGCCAAUGGAAUGUAGGAAAAAUGAUGUACUUGUACACCUGGCUUUAGAAAACCCCGCCCCAUCCAACCCAGCUUAUUGACUGGUCAAUUGUGGGACCCUAAAUGGGAAACCUUAAAAAAGAUGGGUUAGCUUUGAGGUGGGAAACUAAGAUGGUGCCUGGCGGAAGAGAUGGGGCAUGGUCUAUAUUAAAGUUUUUGAUUGGCUCUCUUGAUUUCCGUGCCCAUGGACAGUGCAUGAUCACCAUAGACUCCUGUUAUAAUGAAGGCGCAUGACGAUUUGACCUUUAAUGUGAUUGGUGCAACUAUGGCAUAUUAUGAUUUGACCUUUAAUGUGAUUGGUGCAACUAUGGCACAUGACGAUUUGCCCUUUAACGUGAUUGGUGCAACUAUAGAAAGUCCCUCGCAAACCCCCCUUGCUUGCCUAUAUAAACCAAAAGCUUGCGGCAAUAAAGUGGAACUGCUUAGACGGAAUCCCUGUAGCGUUUGAUUUUCUCUCGCUUGCCUAGGGGCUGGGUUGGCGGACUGCAGGCUCACCUCUCCUUGGCACCGCUCAGCUUUGCUGAGGGAAGUUCCACUGCCUCUCUCUUUCUACGGAGUGCCCCCCGCAGUCAAUGAUGCAAAAGAUCCAUCUAAAUACUUGGGAGCCUUGGGAACAGCAUCAUAGUAAGAUGGGAGCAUCCUGGAUCCCUGAGUCACUGCUUGAAGGGGAGUCACCAAAGAAAGCCAUCCACCUGGGAAUGUCUUUGUUCAACUUGGUGUGGAUGAGAAAUACAGUUUUACUCUGUUAAUCCACUGUGAUUUUGAGGUUGUUACAGGGGCUGAUGACUUAACACAUGUGUUUUCACCUUUCUAUAUUAAAUAUGUAUGUCUUUUGAAAUUAGCCAAGAUGCUAUUAAAAGAAUAUAACUACCCACCCCUCUCUUUGUGCAUGACACCUACUGCUUUAAAGCAUUCAGGAAAAUCUGCAUCCCUUUUUUUUCCCCAGUAUUGGCUGUGCUGGGUCUUUGUUGGGGCAUGUAGGCUUUUCAUUGUGGUGCCUGGGGGGCUUUUCUAG